UACGUAGGGACCGAGCGUUGUCCGGAAUCAUUGGGCGUAAAGAGCUCGUAGGCGGUUUGUCGCGUCGAAUGUGAAAACCCGGGGCUCAACCCCGGGCCUGCAUUCGAUACGGGCAGACUAGAGUUCGGUAGGGGAGUCUGGAAUUCCUGGUGUAGCGGUGAAAUGCGCAGAUAUCAGGAGGAACACCGGUGGCGAAGGCGGGACUCUGGGCCGAUACUGACGCUGAGGAGCGAAAGCGUGGGGAGCAAACAGG
rnacentral:rRNA from 1 species